AAAGAUGUGCAACGCCUUUCUUCACCACUGUUGGAUGGCAAACUUGCUGAGAGCGCUGAGGUUGAAAUGGAAGUUAUCCCUAUGGGUGUCAAUAAUCAUGACAUUUCCAAUGCGUUUAGUGUUGCCUCACCUAUGGUAGUUGAUGAACCUAUGCUGGAAAAAGUGCUUGGUGUAAGUAUUCUUUUCAGUCCCUCUUCAUUAUUUGAAUGUAAUGAUAUCUGCAGUAUCUGUAAGUCCAACAUUGGCAGAGGAAAUGGUCUGUUGUCUUUUUAUAUGGUCUUGGACAAUCCUCACAUCAUAAACUAGCGUUUGGUAUCGAGUUAGUCCCCGAGGUCCAUCUUCUUAUCAUGGAAUCACAGCCGGACCUAUCCCUAUCCCUAUCUGUGGUUUCACCAAUGUUGGGCCCCAAUUUUAUAACGUCCAUGCUCUAGGUUUCCAGUCUUGGGCAUGUGCAGGGGUGUAAGUCUCCCACAUUCGUAGAGGAAAUGAUUUGUUGUCUCAUUGUAUGGUUUUGGACAAUCCUCAAGCUUCACGUCAUAAGCUAUCUUUUGUGAUUGAGUUAGGCCCAAGGUCCAUUUCCUGAACAGUAUUUAUAAAGCAGUUUUGCGAUUAAGUGCUGCUUGAUAUACUUGGACAGACGUUACCUCUAGUGUGGCCCAUCAUGACCUUAAAUGUUUCUCCAUUACUUCAUACCUAAUUGACACCAGAAAUUAUGUCUUUGGAUAUACGAGAUUAACGUAGUGAUUUUUGGUGCAGCCACCUAGGUAUGAUGACAGAGAAACAGCAGAACGAGUUGCCAAUCCUGGUGUAUCUGUUGGCCUGGUGUGGACACAAUUUGGUGGAGAGGUUCAAUUUGUUGAGGCCACAGCAAUGGUGGGAAAAGGUGAUCUUCAUCUCACUGGCCAACUU
rnacentral:lncRNA from 1 species